AGGCAUUCAUCCAAACCAAGUCAUUUCAGGUUCUGGCCAGUUGGAGUAGCUGAAUACAGACACAGAGAUGCUACUUAAGGACAAGAUGAAGUAAUGAGAGAGCAGAGGGAGGAGGAGAUGCAAGAGAGAAGACAAGAAUUUGUUAGAAUAUUUAAAGAGCUCAGUCAUAGACAUCAAGUGCAUCUUGUCCUGGUCUUUCAGUUUGAAGAUUCUGUACUGCAUUAGUUUAUAACUCCGAACUCCAUAUAGAGUGUUGGCAGGUUCUCCUCACAGCUCAGUCACACAGAACAAUCCUUUUCCAGCCCCAGAACCGUUGCAGCCUCAGGCCCAAAGAGUGCAAACAACAUCAAAUUGAGGAGAGCAAACUGGGAGGAUGGGACUGCAUUACCUGGAGCUGGAAUUGGACAAUUAACCCCAAGA